UACGUAGGGGGCUAGCGUUGUCCGGAUUUAUUGGGCGUAAAGAGCGUGUAGGCGGCCAGAUAGGUCCGUUGUGAAAACUCGAGGCUCAACCUCGAGACGCCGAUGGAAACCAUCUGGCUAGAGUCCGGAAGAGGAGAGUGGAAUUCCUGGUGUAGCGGUGAAAUGCGCAGAUAUCAGGAAGAACACCCGUGGCUAAGGCGGCUCUCUAGUACAGUACUGACGCUGAGACGCGAAAGCGUGGGGAGCGAACAGG
rnacentral:rRNA from 1 species